GGCCCGUUAGCUCAGUUGGUUGAGCGUCGGCAAAACGCGAAGGUCGGGGUUCGCCCCCCACGGGCCG